rnacentral:SRP_RNA from 1 species
GGGCAGGCUAGGCUGGGAGGUUAGCCGUCUCCUGUUACCAUAGAUCGGCUUAUGAUGGAGCUGAAGCCUGGGAGAGGCUUGUCCAGGGCUUGUUGGUCUUGGCUUGGACAAUGAUAUCCUGUCCUUAGGGACUGAUCCUAUUGGGAACCGGGUCAGGCUGGGAACAGAGCAGCCCUAACCAGUUCGGUUGGUGCUCUAAGGGUAGCGGGGUUGAGAAAAAGUCAAGGUUAACCAGCAGGUUUUGGGUAAGUCCAUCUCAGGUGCGCCUGCCU